rnacentral:rRNA from 1 species
UACGAAGGGGGCUAGUGUUGCUCGGAAUCACUGGGCGUAAAGCGCACGUAGGCGGCUUUUUAAGUCAGGGGUGAAAUCCUGGAGCUCAACUCCAGAACUGCCUUUGAUACUGGCGGACUCGAGUCCGGGAGAGGUGAGUGGAACUGCGAGUGUAGAGGUGAAAUUCGUAGAUAUUCGCAAGAACACCAGUGGCGAAGGCGGCUCACUGGCCCGGUACUGACGCUGAGGUGCGAAAGCGUGGGGAGCAAACAGG